AUUGAACGCUGGCGACAGGCCUAACACAUGCAAGUCGAGCGGAUGAAGGGAGCUUGCUCCUGGAUUCAGCGGCGGACGGGUGAGUAAUGCCUAGGAAUCUGCCUGGUAGUGGGGGAUAACGUCCGGAAACGGGCGCUAAUACCGCAUACGUCCUGAGGGAGAAAGUGGGGGAUCUUCGGACCUCACGCUAUCAGAUGAGCCUAGGUCGGAUUAGCUAGUUGGUGGGGUAAAGGCCUACCAAGGCGACGAUCCGUAACUGGUCUGAGAGGAUGAUCAGUCACACUGGAACUGAGACACGGUCCAGACUCCUACGGGAGGCAGCAGUGGGGAAUAUUGGACAAUGGGCGAAAGCCUGAUCCAGCCAUGCCGCGUGUGUGAAGAAGGUCUUCGGAUUGUAAAGCGCUUUAAGUUGGGAGGAAGGGCAGUAAGUUAAUACCUUGCUGUUUUGACGUUACCAACAGAAUAAGCACCGGCUAACUUCGUG
rnacentral:rRNA from 1 species